UAAGGAAUAUUGGACAAUGGUCGCAAGACUGAUCCAGCCAUGCCGCGUGCAGGAAGACGGCCCUAUGGGUUGUAAACUGCUUUUGUACCAGAGAAAACCUAUCUACGUGUAGAUAGCUGAUAGUAUGGUAAGAAUAAGCAUCGGCUAACUUCGUGCCAGCAGCCGCGGUAAGACGAAGGAUGCAAGCGUUAUCCGGAUUCAUUGGGUUUAAAGGGUGCGUAGGGGGGCUUGUAAGUCAGUGGUGAAAUCUCUCAGCUUAACUGAGAAACUGCCAUUGAUACUGCAGGCCUAGAGUAUAGAUGACGUUGGCGGAAUAUGACAUGUAAUGGUGAAAUACUUAGAUAUGUCAUAGAACACCGAUUGCGAAGGCAGCUAACGAAACUAUAGCUGACGCUGAGGCACGAAAGUGCGGGGAUCAAACA
rnacentral:rRNA from 1 species